UACGUAGGUGGCAAGCGUUGUCCGGAUUUACUGGGCGUAAAGAGCGCGCAGGCGGUCGGAUAAGUCGAAUGUGAAAGCCCCCGGCUCAACUGGGGAGGGUCAUUCGAUACUGUUCGACUCGAAGGCAGGAGAGGGAAGUGGAAUUCCCGGUGUAGUGGUGAAAUGCGUAGAUAUCGGGAGGAACACCAGUGGCGAAGGCGACUUCCUGGCCUGUUCUUGACGCUGAGGCGCGAAAGCGUGGGGAGCGAACGGGG
rnacentral:rRNA from 1 species